UUUCGAUGGUUUAAAAUUGAAACCUUACGAAACUUGCCACACGAUAACUGAUAUAUUUUCUAUUAAAUAUAGAUAUAUCGUCUGAACUCAUAGAUAUGAGUUUAGGUGAUUUAGGAGAUAAGAUAAACGAACACGCGGCCGAAUCCCUCGUACGAAAUAAUUGCUAGCUACCGACUUGAUAAACAUGAUGUAUUGCGUUCUAAAACAACAAUAUAUCUUUUACGUUUCAUUUGUACUUUAUUUUUAUAGCAAUAGAAUUCAAAUUAAUGUCAUUUAAGUAGAGAAUAAUUUAGUGGUUUAUAUAAACAGGGUGUGAGCGAUAUUUUCAGCGGUUAUAGUGAUAUGUUCAACAAGCAUGAAUCAACCGUGGAAGAUAGAAGAUAGAAGAACUGUUGAUAUUCAAUUGAUGUAGGUCCCUAAUAAACAACUUUCAUACAGUUUUGUCAACCAAAAAUAUAUCCUACUAAUAUAAGAAAGAUAUUUGUAAAGACAACGACACAAAAAACAAUACAUCAAGACAUAGUAACAGAAAAAGACAAGGAGACAUUACAGGUCUGUGUUGCAGCAAUAUAAAGCUAGGAAGUCUUGGUCGCAUUGGACGCAUCACUCAGGCAGGAGUGAACCGGAAUAGCGAGAGAACUAUUUCGCCUCGCCAGAAACAGAUAAACACAAAAACAUGUGAAAUGCGAGUUAAAAUUCUCUUUAGACCAAGCUUUACCUGUGUUUUUUCCAGUCAA